AUAAUUUUACUAGUUUAUUUUAUUUUAAAAGUGAAAUUACUAUUUAUUUUAUUGUGACUUGUUUAUAGUUUCUAAAAUUUUAUUGGUUUCAUUGAAAUUGAAAACAUAAGCAUUGAUUACUAUAAUUCUAGCUAUAGGUUGUGGGUAACCAUUACCACUCUAUUUAACAAACUUCUCAACUUAACCAAAAUUUACGAAUAGCAGCGAAAAGACUUUUUUUUUCAAAAUUAGGCUCGGUUGUGGUCUUUAUCUUUAGCUUGUAGAUUAUACUUGGUGCAAAAAGCCCAAUUCAGGUUGGAGGGGGGGGGCACACGCCCCUUCCACAAGUCAAUAAGCACACCACCAAUAAAUGAAAUUCUUGUAGCAAAAAAAUUUUUUAUGUUUUUUAUACUGUGUACUAGUUUCACUUAUUUUAUUAAAUAUAGAAAUAUUUAUUUAUAAUUAGAGAAUUAAAUAUUUUUGAAAUUAGGGUGUGUUAAACCAUCACCACCAUAUCCACCACCAGCUUUAAUAAACAUCAAUCAUUGACGGUCUGGAAUAAAAUUAUAGCAAUUUUUUGUAUAAAAAAAAUAACCGUUUGUUGAAAAAAAAAACUUUUUAUUGAAAGAAAUAUGCUUAUUUUUAGGGUAAAGGUGGUGGUUCGGCACCCCCUCUAGCCCCCAGGAAA